UGAGCAACCUGCCCUUGACUCUGGGAUAAAGCCUGGGAAACUGGGUCUAAUACCGGAUAUGACUCCUCAUCGCAUGGUGGGGGGUGGAAAGCUUUUUUGUGGUUUUGGAUGGACUCGCGGCCUAUCAGCUUGUUGGUGAGGUAAUGGCUCACCAAGGCGACGACGGGUAGCUGGUCUGAGAGGACGACCAGCCACACUGGAACUGAGAUACGGUCCAGACUCCUACGGGAGCAG
rnacentral:rRNA from 1 species